AUCCAAGGAAGGCAGCAGGCGCGCAAAUUACCCAAUCCCAAUACGGGGAGGUAGUGACAAUAAAUACUGAUACGGGGCUCUUUCGGGUCUCGUAAUUGGAAUGAGUACAAUCUAAAUCCCUUAACGAGGAACAAUUGGAGGGCAAGUCUGGUGCCAGCAGCCGCGGUAAUUCCAGCUCCAAUAGCGUAUAUUAAAGUUGUUGCCGUUAAAAAGCUCGUAGUUGAACCUUGGACCUGGCUGAUCUGUCCUCCUAAUCGAGCGCACGGAUUCGGUCGGGUCUUUCCUUCUGGGGAGCCCUAUGCCCUUCACUGGGUGUAGUGGGGAACCAGGACUUUUACCUUGAAAAAAUUAGAGUGUUCAAAGCAGGCCUUUGCUCGAAUACAUUAGCAUGGAAUAAUAGAAUAGGACAUCGGUUCUAUUUUGUUGGUUUCUAGGACCGCUGUAAUGAUUAAUAGGGAUAGUCGGGGGCGUCAGUAUUCAAUUGUCAGAGGUGAAAUUCUUGGAUUUAUUGAAGACUAACUACUGCGAAAGCAUUCGCCAAGGAUGUUUUCAUUAAUCAGUGAACGAAAGUUAGGGGAUCGAAGACGAUCAGAUACCGUCGUAGUCUUAACCAUAAACUAUGCCGACUAGGGAUCGGACGGUGGUUUUUUUAUGCCCCGUUCGGCACCUUACGA
rnacentral:rRNA from 1 species